UGGCGGACGGGUGAGUAACACGUGGGUAACCUGCCCUAAAGUGGGGGAUAACAUUUGGAAACAGAUGCUAAUACCGCAUAAAACCUAACACCGCAUGGUGUAGGGUUGAAAGAUGGUUUCGGCUAUCACUUUAGGAUGGACCCGCGGUGCAUUAGUUAGUUGGUGAGGUAAAGGCUCACCAAGACCGUGAUGCAUAGCCGACCUGAGAGGGUAAUCGGCCACACUGGGACUGAGACACGGCCCAGACUCCUACGGGAGGCAGCAGUAGGGAAUCUUCCACAAUGGACGAAAGUCUGAUGGAGCAACGCCGCGUGAGUGAAGAAGGUUUUCGGAUCGUAAAACUCUGUUGUUGGAGAAGAAUGUAUCUGAUAGUAACUGAUCAGGUAGUGACGGUAUCCAACCAGAAAGCCACGGCUAACUACGUGCCAGCAGCCGCGGUAAUACGUAGGUGGCAAGCGUUGUCCGGAUUUAUUGGGCGUAAAGCGAGCG
rnacentral:rRNA from 1 species